AACAAAUUUUUUCUUACAUAUAUUUUGUUACUAAAAGUAGAUGUUCUAUAACAUGUUCUUUUUUAAUGACCUAAAUGCUGAGAAAGUGUUCCUUUUUAUGCCAUGUUUGUUCUACUUAGACAAUAACUUCUAAAUUCCUUCUUUAAUCACCAAAAGUUUUGCUAUUUUGACCGUGUGAGGUUCAAAACAGGACAUUUCCAAGAGAAUUCCCAAUCAUAUCAUGCUGGAAGAAGAAUAUGAUCAGGCAAAGAAUGAGAAUAGAGGAGCAACAUGGAUUUGGAAAAGGUCUUGUUCUGCUAGCCAAAAUUGCGCAACAACAUCAAGCAGUUAAUGUACUACCACAGCCACCACCACCACAACAACCAACUAUGCAACAACAACAAAUUCAACAUGAUGUACAUCAACCUGUCCAACAACCACAACAACUCCCACCACCACCACAACAACAAGCAACAACAAGCACACACCAAGAGAAUGUUGAACAACAAUAUCAACCUCCAUCAAAUUUGAAGGAUUCCAUAGAGGAGUUCAAUAAAUUGAUAAAGAAUAUUGGAGGAAACAUUUCAAGAUUUUCCUACUCAUAACAACUUUCCCAACAAAUAUUCAAAACCAACCAAAUUGAAGAUGUAAUGGCAAAUGUUUUCAAUGAGAUAUGGGACAAGUGUGCACACAAAGUGAAGCUUUCACAAAGUAACCGAGAGAAGACCCGAAAUAUUCUUAGUCAAGAUGAGGUAUUGUUUGCUAGUGAUGAAAUUGUAGAGCUUCUGAAAAAAUUCGAAACACAAGCUAUCGACACAUACCAAGGAAAGAAAAUAUCGGUUUUUGAAAUGACUCCUCCAUCCUUUUCUCUAGAAAUUGAUUCCAACCAAACACCACAACCAAGAGAGGUAAAUGUUCAACAGCCAAGCUUAGACUUGAAGUUGGAUAUUGACGACUUGGAUAAUCUGAUUUCUACACCAGAACACACUUCAAUUGAAUACCUCUUUGAAAAAGAAAUGCAAAAUCUUGGAAGAGAACACAAUGACAGAGAUUUGAUGAAAGAAAGCAAACGUCCUAAGCAUAUAGUACAAAAUCUGCCACCUUGCUUUCGUUAUCCAUUCCUUGUCAAAUACGAGAACCUUUUCAAGAACCUGACAGGAUCGUACACAACAUUAUCAGACUAUGCAUUUCAACAAGGAAAUGAAGACAAAGAAUAUUGUUGUGCACAAAAAACUAUAAUGAUGAGAAGGUUGAUAUCCCAGCAAGGACCAGACAAUUUAUCGAAACAUUGGAUAAUGAAAUGAAAGAAAACAACAUACAAAAUAUUGAUCAAUUUGAUCUGAUAUUCUUCCAUAUCAGUGUGAACACUAUUAUAUCUUCUGCAUCAACAUGGUCAAACCAUGAGUGGGUAAUAGACAUAAUUGACAACACAAAGUUGGCUAGGAACAUCAACUUCAGAUCAAAGUACAAAAGACUACCCAAAAAAGAUGAAGAAUGCAUUUCAAGAGUUUGUGAAAACAAAGGGAAUAACAACAAGUGAUUUGCUUGAGCAAAUGAGGUAAAGGAUAAUAAAGAUGCCAUGCAAGGACAACAUCAACCACACAGGCUGUGGAGUGUUUGUCAUGAGACACAUAGAAACAUACAUUGGAGGAGCAGAAGAAUGGGAUUGUGGACUUGGGUACAAAAUGUAGGUUCAUACUUAAUUUUCUCUAACUUUCGUUACAUGUUCUUUUUAUAACUGAAUAUUCUAUUUCUAAAGCAUGGUGUGCAACAUUUAUACAUGAAGAAAAGAUAAAAAAGUUGAGAGUUAAGUAUAUCUUAAAUAGGAGUUUAGUUCUACAUCUAACUGUAAAUGUUCUAUUUCUAUUUGUAAUAUGUUAUAUCUAUAUAGUUAAAUGUUCUAUUUCCAUCUUUUUAUAGAACAUGUUUAAUUUAUAAGAGUAUAAUGUUCUAGUUUA